GAUGAACGCUAGCUACAGGCUUAACACAUGCAAGUCGAGGGGCAUCAGUUUGGUUUGCUUGCAAACCAAAGCUGGCGACCGGCGCACGGGUGAGUAACACGUAUCCAACCUGCCUCAUACUCGGGGAUAGCCUUUCGAAAGAAAGAUUAAUAUCCGAUAGCAUAUAUUUCCCGCAUGGGUUUUAUAUUAAAGAAAUUCGGUAUGAGAUGGGGAUGCGUUCCAUUAGUUUGUUGGGGGGGUAACGGCCCACCAAGACUACGAUGGAUAGGGGUUCUGAGAGGAAGGUCCCCCACAUUGGAACUGAGACACGGUCCAAACUCCUACGGGAGGCAGCAGUGAGGAAUAUUGGUCAAUGGACGAGAGUCUGAACCAGCCAAGUAGCGUGAAGGAUGACUGCCCUA
rnacentral:rRNA from 1 species